UUAAACCAUAACUCAGUCACAGCA
rnacentral:siRNA from 1 species